rnacentral:rRNA from 1 species
GACGAACUGUCCAAACGUUGUUCGGAAUCACUGGGCUUAAAGGGCGCGUAGGCGGGAUGGCAAGUCGGUCGUGAAAUCCUUCGGCUCAACCGAAGAACGUCGGCCGAUACUGCCGUUCUUGAGGGAUGCAGAGGAGAUUGGAAUUCCCGGUGUAGCGGUGAAAUGCGUAGAUAUCGAGAGGAACACCAAUGGCGAAGGCAGAUCUCUGGGCCGUAACUGACGCUGAGGAGCGAAAGCAUGGGGAGCGAACAGG